rnacentral:rRNA from 1 species
AGUGAACGCUGGCGGUAGGCCUAACACAUGCAAGUCGAACGGCAGCACAGUAAGAGCUUGCUCUUACGGGUGGCGAGUGGCGGACGGGUGAGGAAUACAUCGGAAUCUACUUUUUCGUGGGGGAUAACGUAGGGAAACUUACGCUAAUACCGCAUAUGACCUACGGGUGAAAGCAGGGGAUAUUCGGACCUUGCGCGAUUGAAUGAGCCGAUGUCGGAUUAGCUAGUUGGCGGGGUAAAGGCCCACCAAGGCGACGAUCCGUAGCUGGUCUGAGAGGAUGAUCAGCCACACUGGAACUGAGACACGGUCCAGACUCCUACGGGAGGCAGCAGUGGGGAAUAUUGGACAAUGGGCGCAAGCCUGAUCCAGCCAUACCGCGUGGGUGAAGAAGGCCUUCGGGUUGUAAAGCCCUUUUGUUGGGAAAGAAAAGCAGCAGGUUAAUACCCCGCUGUUCUGACGGUACCCAAAGAAUAAGCACCGGCUAACUUCGUG